rnacentral:rRNA from 1 species
GACGAACGCUGGCGGCGUGCUUAACACAUGCAAGUCGAACGGAAAGGCCCUGCGCUUGCUGUGUGCUCGUUAGGCGAACGGGUGAGUAACACGUGAGUAACCUGCCCUUGUCUUUCGGAUAACUUCAGGAAACUCGGGCUAAUACCGGAUAGGAUCUCCUGCUCCAUGGGGGGGGUUGGAAAGUUUCGGCGGUUGGGGCUGGACUCGCUGCUUAUCCGCUUGUUGGUGUGGUAGUGGAUGACAAAGGCUUUGACGGGUAGCCGGCCUGGGAGGGUGGACGGCCACCUUGGGCCUGCGAUAGGGCCCAGACGCCAACGGGCGGCAGCAGUGGGGAAUCUUGCGCAAUGGGCGGAAGCCUGAUGCAGAAGCGCCGCGUGCGGGAUGACGGCCUACGGGUUGUAAACAGAUUUCGCCUGUGACGAGGCGUGCGUGACGGUAAUGGGUAAGAAAGCACCGGCUAACUACGUG